GGGGAUCAGACAGUUCGUGUCUGCGCAGAGGCGCGAGACCGUGUUGGUAUCGCAGGAGGCCGCCAUGUGGCGUGAGUUAGAGGUUGAGUUGCAGUUGCGUGAGAUGAGGCAGGCCCCGAUGCAGUCGCAGUCGGCACCGAAACGGUCCAUGACCGUAGACGUUAGAAUGGGGGAUCGGAGCGGUCACACUUGGGGGGAGUGGGGGGGGGGUGGCANGUGUUGGUAUCGCAGGAGGCCGCCAUGUGGCGUGAGUUAGAGGUUGAGUUGCAGUUGCGUGAGAUGAGGCAGGCCCCGAUGCAGUCGCAGUCGGCACCGAAACGGUCCAUGACCGUAGACGUUAGAAUGGGGGAUCGGAGCGGUCACACUUGUGGGAAGUGUGAGAGAGAUGGCACCGGAGCUUGUUGGCCCAGUGGUGCAUGCCGCAAGUGCGGAAAGGAGAGGCAUGGUGCACGGGAUUGUCGGCAGUCAGUGCCAAUUCGGGAUUCAGGAUUUGUUAUCAGUGUCGGCAGGUUGGACAUUUGAGGGUCAACUGUCCACAACUUUCUGCAGGACCGGUGCAGGCUCUAGCACCGGCCACCUCGAGGAGUUCAGGAGGAGGACAAGAUGGAGCGGAGCCCCAAGGGCUCAGGGUUGUGCUUAUUGGCUUGCGACAGAGGGAGACGGAGCAGUGCCGGAGGCAGCUGCGGGUAUGAUGCUGUUUUGACGUCUUGAUUAGCUUGCGUUGAUUGUGGUGUAUUGUUGUGCUGGUAAUGUGGAUUUCGAUGCGGUAGUCGUUGUUGCGCGGGAUUGGCAUGGUUACGGAUUGGUGCUUCAGGUUUCAUUUUGGCAUUCGUUGUUCCCUGAUGGUUUGGUGUGGUUGUAGUCUGGUGUUUUAGUGCCGGUAACUUUGUGCGGUUUUCGAGGUGGUAUUCAACCUUUGACAGGUUGGGGGUUUGGUUAUGGAUUAUUGCUUGGGAAUUUCGUUGGUCAUCGUCCGUGAGGGUUGAUAGUGGGGAUGCGGCACUGGGUUGAAUGACGGAUAGCAUCUGACGAUUGAAAGAUCGGAUUCUUUUGAGCGGAUUGAUCAGGGAGGAGAUGUGUUUUGCUGAGAGUUGCUUACGCUUGUGGGGAGCAGUCAGAGGGAAAAUGUUCUCUUUGUGCAGGAUGGUUCUGUAAGGUCGUUAAUGACGAUCGGUGGCAGUUAGUCAGUGCUUUAGUGGGGGAGAAUUGCAAAUUCUCCGGGAGAUCGAUGAGUAUGUAAGGGUGCUUAGCUGUUGGGAUUCAGCAGGGUUUGUCAGCGCAAAGUAUAGGCCGACGAGAGCGAGUGUUGAGUAUGCGGGGCGAGAUACAGACCUAGGGCAUUUGAUUGUGGAGGCCUGAGAGGAGGUCGGGAUCAAGCUUGAGUAAGUAAUCGGAAUUUUGCGAUCAGAGUAUUGGUACGUUUGAGGUACGUGAUGGGUUGUACUGCAUUAAUCCCACGGGAUUAUGUUGUGCAUGUUUCUAGAGUUGGAACCGGAAGGUUCCCAGAGUUAGAACCUGAGGGUUCGCAGAGUUUGGGUGUACGGACCCACAGAGAUAUAGCCUCGAGUGGCUAGUAUGUGUUAUGAGAGUCGGUCCAGUCAUACUGGAGACUCUGUUGGUAUUGCUGGAUUAGCUCGAGAUUUGCGGAUCGCGUAUGUUGCAGUGUGAUUGCAUUGGAAGGUCUGGCCCCGGGUUAUUGAUCUUGUUUAGCUGAGGCAGUGAUUUUGAUGAGUGGAGAGAGUGCAUGGGAUUGAGAGCCCCUGCAAUGAGAACCAGAGUAUGUGAAUAGCAGUUACGCAAAAAGGGUGGUGUCGCUUGGGGCGAGCACCGUGGCACCGGUUGGAGUGGCAUUAUGUUCAAGAGAGUUCCGUGGAAAAGGAAAAGAGGAGGGUAUGUAACUCCGAAGGGGGUGCAAGUUCACGAAAGUGAAAGCUGCAGAGCAGAGUUAUGGUUAGAGUAUUUCGAGUAUGGUUUUGAGCAUCGUGUUCGCG
rnacentral:lncRNA from 1 species